rnacentral:tRNA from 1 species
GCGGCUAUGGCGAAACGGCAGACGCGCUAGAUUCAGGGUCUAGUCGGGGUUCCCCGGUGGAGGUUCAAAUCCUCUUAGCCGCACCA